GAUGAAGAACGUAGCGAAAUGCGAUACGUAAUGUGAAUUGCAAAUUCAGUGAAUCAUCGAGUCUUUGAACGCACAUUGCGCCCCCUGGUAUUCCGGGGGGCAUGCCUGUCCGAGCGUCAUUGCUGCCCUCAAGCACGGCUUGUGUGUUGGGCCCCGUCCUCCGAUCCCGGGGGACGGGCCCGAAAGGCAGCGGCGGCACCGCGUCCGGUCCUCGAGCGUAUGGGGCUUUGUCACCCGCUCUGUAGGCCCGGCCGGCGCUUGCCGAUCAACCCAAAUUUUUAUCCAGGUUGACCUCGGAUCAGGUAGGGAUACCCGCUGAACUUAAGCAUAUCAAUAAGCGGAAGA
rnacentral:misc_RNA from 1 species